UUUAGAUUUCCGCCUCUAUGUUGCUCUUUUUUCUGCUCCUCUUCUUUGCGUCGCAUCCUGUCUUGUGAUCAUUUUGGGUUUUUUUAAUUUAAUUUUUUAGAAAGGGUAGUUUAGGUGCCCAUAGAUGGCAAAACUAACAUGUACGGUAUCAUUCGUGCGCCAUGCAUAAUUAAUACGUUAUGGUGAUGUAUUAUUUUGCGCAAUUACAUACUAUCAUUUUGCGCAACUGCCUGUCGCCUAUGCCACGGACCGGCUCUGUCAGCAGCACAGUGCAGAAAAUCAUGCAGAUACAGGUCAAGUGAAUAACACUAUCUUGUUGCAAUGGCACUGUCAAGUAGUGGGAUGUAUUAGGGCGAAAGUGAAUAGUCACUUAUCGAAGUAUUUGUGAAGGAAGUUGGAAAAUGGUCAAGCAUAAAGAUCUGAACGAGUUCAAAAGGCAGUGUGGUUUGAUAGCAUCCAACCGCACCUUUGAUUGGCCCAUGAUUGGCAAAUGUGAUUUUUAGUAGCCACCCCACCCAUCCUGAGAGCACUGCCAGUUUUUCUCUCUUGUCAACAAAUGCCAGUGGCAUCUCACAAUCUCCAGACAGUGCUGGUUUUGGAGAGGGGUGACUUCCUCCUCGCUGUUCUGUCAUUCUUAUUCAAUGUGUACCUGAGGGGAGACUCCUAUAAUUCACAUUACUCAAUGCAAGAGUGCCCUGUAGGCCUUUAGAUGUUACCCUGGGGUUAUUUGUGACUUCCUUUAACUCCCAUUUGUACAUCUGCCUCACAGUGGUUUGAUGGAGGCCAAAUUCAUUAGAAAUGUUUUUGUAAUGAGCAUCGAUAACUCUUUUUCUGAGGUGCCAAGGAAUCUUCAUUGAUCAACGCAGGGCACCCUUCCAUAAACCUCUGUGGUAAAGACAGACUUUGAUAAUGGUGAUCCAAGUUUAAGGUCUUUGAAUGUGGGAGGGUCUGCCUGAUUGCUAUCCCCUUGUUUGAAACACCUGACUUCAGUUGCCCCUUUAAAUUAAGUUCGACUUCUGGAGGUUCACAUACUUUUUCCAAACAAAUAUAUUUAAAGUUGUAUAAUUUUACUCUCUAAGUAAUUGUAAAAUCUGUAAUGUUUUUGCCACAUUGGAUUAAUUGUGUUUAUUGUGUCCAGUUUUCAGAUAAAUAUAUAAUCAUAAUUAUGGAUAAAUGUAGAAUAUUGUGCAAGGUUCACAAACUUUCUAGUGGCACUGUAUAUGAGUUGUUACAACUGUGAUUGAAGGUAUUUUCUCAGUCUUUAUUAACAGCAUUUAUGUGGUUUGUAUCUAACACUCACCCUCAGUGUUAUAUUGGUUCCUCUUUGCUUCCUUCUAGAUAAGCCAUGUAUACAGCAUUUAGAUCAACAUUUCAAUAUGUAUCAUGCUCAAUAAUUAUUACAUUUGUAUUGCUUAGAUUUAUUUGAACUGUCUGCUUUUUCUGUUGAUUUUCUGUGUUCCCAACACUGUAUGGGUGAUUCUCAUGAAACUAUUGAAAAUUUUAAAUAUAAAAUGUGUAAUUUAGUAAUAUAAAAAAGCAUCAGAAUAAAGACAAUACUGUUCUCUACCGUGCACAAUGUGUAAUUUCAACAUGAGAAUGAAUUAUUUUUCUAUUUUACUGCAUUUUCUGCUGAAAUUCUCAUUACCGCAAUGCGUCCAGAAAUGGAUGUUCUACUAGAUUAUUCUAGAUGACAGAAAAAAUUAUUUACUGAAUAUUCAUGUAUAAUAAUAAUGAAAAAAAGUAGGAAAAUGAUGUGUCCAUGCCUGAUGUUCUCAUCCUCCACAACAUUUUUAAGGACUGUUUAAACACACAUACAGAAUGCAAAUAAAGUUUGAUUAUGAGUGAUGGAGCACAUGGGAGAGUUACUUUAAGAUGGUGACCAGGUAAGAUCAUCUUUUUAUAUCUUUCCAGUUAAAUGUUAAAUAUUCUAUUGUCAGAAUGGUAACACGACUUUUUGAUUAUCAUUACCGAAACAGGAAGUUUAGAGUUACAAUUUUUAAUGAAAAUGUACUUUAUUGAGGUCUAAUUAUAUGCAUUGAGAAAAAAUUUGUAAAGCCAUCAUGGCUUCUCUAUUGUUAGCAAAACAUCCUGAGGCACCUCAUCUUCCCCAACACCAUUCUCAUAUACCGCAACCAUUUAAGGCCAGUUGUGGUAAAGAGAACUUAUAUAAAGGGAAUGAGAAUUUAAGCAUAUUGUGUAUAACUUUUAAAUAUCUCUUAUGAAUUUAAUAUUAAUUUCAAAUUUCCUAAAUGUUGAUAUUUUGCUUUAUGAUUUGUUUCAUUGUAGACAGUUAGCAAGUGAGAAAAAAAGCUUUAGCAAAGGCCAGGGUGACAAAGUUCAGGGAAAAAUUCUACAGAAACCCGGAACUGCAGGAGGAGUACAGAAGGAAGGAGAGAGAGAGGUUAGGUUUGGAGAUGUUACAGCAGGUGUAAUUAGCAAAAAACACCCUACAGUGUUAGGAAAUGUACAUGAGACUAUACACACAGACACACACACACAACCCUUUAGCCACUACUAUAACAGGACUUUGGUGCUGGAUUGAGUGUACUGUUCAAAUUCCCGCCACACUAAGGCAUGUAGGUCAUGUGAUUCUUAAAGUGACAGCAGCCUAAUAAAUUUGCUGCACUCUGUCAUUAAUUUUAAUUAAAAACAAACUUUAGUAGUUUAAAUUGUUAAUAGUUUUGUUAUAAUUUAGUAAUUUAAUUACAUAAUAAAUAAACAGUUAUUUGUUCUUCUGUUUGUAAUUUGUUUGUUUUUUUAUUUUCUUGUUUACUUUACUUUUCAAUUCAUUUCAAAGACUAAAAUUAAGCUCUACCCCACCCCACAACUUCAGGCCCAGUAUAGAACACACACACACACACAGAGUAAGCAUCAAGUCUAUAUUAUUUGAUGAUGUAUACAUAAAAUGUUUUUUCCCCCAUGUUAGGAGACUAAUUUAAUGUGAUGCUUUCUUUCCGCUUCCAGGAAUCAAAAACGAAAACAAACUGGCAAAAUAAAGAAAACUGAAGAGCUGACUAAGAAGCAACAGGAAAAGAAAAAAAGACAGUGAAUCCGAGUUGCAAGACAAAACUGCAAGUGUGGGUGAUAAUCAGAGUGGCUGGUGGUUCUCUG